rnacentral:misc_RNA from 1 species
GCAAACUUGGUCAUUUAGAGGAAGUAAAAGUCGUAACAAGGUUUCCGUAGGUGAACCUGCGGAAGGAUCAUUAAUGAAAUAAUUGGUCUGUGUUGCUGCUGGCUCAUAGAGCAUGUGCACACACACUCCCAUCUUUUCACUAAACCACAUGUGAACUAUUUGUAGACCCUUUCAAGCCCUGUCGUAUGCCAGGUCUUUGGAGUACUAAAUUGCUGGAACAAAACGUGGCCAGCUUUUCUGGACUUGGGUCUAUAUCCUUAUAAACCAUUCACUAUGUAUGAGAAUGCCAUAAAUAUAAAAUAAAUUAAAUACAACUUUCAACAACGGAUCUCUUGGCUCUCGCAUCGAUGAAGAACGCAGC